rnacentral:lncRNA from 1 species
AGGUGGGGGACUUUGAAAAUGGGUAUAAGUAAGAGUUGCGACGUGUGACUGUAUACAGUGUUGAAACGAGGUGCAAGAAAAACGUCAAGAGCAAUCAUAAGCUUGUGAUCCGUUAUACGUGCAGGAGUAAUUCAACAAUUUAAGAUGGAUAAAGCAUCGAAAGACAAUAAGGCUAAUCAAGGCAAUCGUAAUCAUGAAAAAACUGGACCCGGCCACAAAGCGGGGUAUCAUGGAGAAGGAACUAAAGAAGACUUGGACAACCAUUCUCAGCAGAUACAACAAAAUAAAGAAGGCAAAUGUUAAAUGUACAAAACGUACGAAAUCUAGGAUAAAUAUAGACAAUAUAUAAAAUGUGCAUCUUUAAUAAACCACUUUAUAUUUAAUCUU